rnacentral:rRNA from 1 species
GAGUAACGCGUAGGAAUCUACCUAAUAGUGGGGGAUAGCCCGAAGAAAUUCGGAUUAAUACCGCAUAAUCUAUUCGUAGUAAAGUGGGGGACUUUCGAGCCUCACGCUAUUAGAUGAGCCUGCGUAAGAUUAGCUUGUUGGUAGGGUAAAAGCCUACCAAGGCUACGAUCUUUAGCUGGUCUGAGAGGAUGAUCAGCCACAUCGGGACUGAGACACGGCCCGAACUCCUACGGGAGGCAGCAGUGGGGAAUAUUGGACAAUGGGGGCAACCCUGAUCCAGCAAUACCGCGUGUGUGAAGAAGGCCUGAGGGUUGUAAAGCACUUUCAAUUGUGAAGAAAAGUUAACGGUUAAUAACCGUUAGCCUUGACGUUAAC